rnacentral:rRNA from 1 species
GACGAACGCUGGCGGCGUGCCUAAUACAUGCAAGUAGAACGCUGAAGGAGGGGCUUGCUUCUCUGGAUGAGUUGCGAACGGGUGAGUAACGCGUAGGUAACCUGCCUGGUAGCGGGGGAUAACUAUUGGAAACGAUAGCUAAUACCGCAUAAUAGUAGAUGUUGCAUGACAUUUGCUUAAAAGGUGCAAUUGCAUCACUACCAGAUGGACCUGCGUUGUAUUAGCUAGUUGGUGAGGUAACGGCUCACCAAGGCGACGAUACAUAGCCGACCUGAGAGGGUGAUCGGCCACACUGGGACUGAGACACGGCCCAGACUCCUACGGGAGGCAGCAGUAGGGAAUCUUCGGCAAUGGACGGAAGUCUGACCGAGCAACGCCGCGUGAGUGAAGAAGGUUUUCGGAUCGUAAAGCUCUGUUGUAAGAGAAGAACGAGUGUGAGAGUGGAAAGUUCACACUGUGACGGUAUCUUACCAGAAAGGGACGGCUAACUACGUG